rnacentral:rRNA from 1 species
UAGGGAAUCUUCCACAAUGGACGCAAGUCUGAUGGAGCAACGCCGCGUGAGUGAAGAAGGUCUUCGGNUCGUAAAACUCUGUUGUUAGAGAAGAACACGAGUGAGAGUAACUGUUCAUUCGAUGACGGUAUCUAACCAGCAAGUCACGGCUAACUACGUGUCAG